UACGUAGGGGGCAAGCGUUGUCCGGAAUCAUUGGGCGUAAAGAGCGCGUAGGCGGCCCGAUAAGUCCGCUGUGAAAGUCAAGGGCUUAACCCUUGAAUGCCGGUGGAAACUGUCGGGCUAGAGUCCGGAAGAGGCGAGUGGAAUUCCUGGUGUAGCGGUGAAAUGCGUAGAUAUCAAGUGGAACACCAGUGGCGAAGGCGAAUCCCUGGAAAAUACCUGACACUGAGGCACGAAAGCUAGGGGAGCAAACAGG
rnacentral:rRNA from 1 species